GUGAUGAAAUGGUCCUUCGUUGAUAUGUGAAGACGCCCCUACCCAACUGA
rnacentral:snoRNA from 1 species